rnacentral:rRNA from 1 species
UACGUAGGGGGCGAGCGUUGUCCGGAAUCAUUGGGCGUAAAGAGCGUGUAGGCGGCUUGGCAAGUCUGACGUGAAAGCCCGCGGCUCAACCGCGGAUUGUCGUUGGAAACUGCCUCGCUAGAGUCCGGAAGAGGAGAGCGGAAUUCCUGGUGUAGCGGUGGAAUGCGCAGAUAUCAGGAAGAACACCCGUGGCGAAGGCAGCUCUCUGGUACAUGAUUGACGCUGAGACGCGAAAGCGUGGGUAGCAAACAGG